UCCGAAUUGGUGUAGUGGUUAACAUUUCACGCUCUCAAAAGAGCAGCACCGUGGAGCCCGGGGUUCGAUUCCCCGAUUCGGAG